rnacentral:rRNA from 1 species
UACGUAGGGGGCAAGCGUUGUUCGGAUUCAUUGGGCGUAAAGGGUGCGUAGGCGGCGCGGUAAGUCGGGUGUGAAAUCUCGGAGCUUAACUCCGAAACUGCAUUCGAUACUGCCGUGCUUGAGGACUGGAGAGGAGACUGGAAUUUACGGUGUAGCGGUGAAAAUGCGUAGAUAUCGUAAGGAAGACCAGUGGCGAAGGCGGGUCUCUGGACAGUUCCUGACGCUGAGGCACGAAGGUCAGGGGAGCAAACGGGG